GUUUUCACCUUAUUAUGUUUAUAUAUACCCUCGCCUUCGUCUUCUUUCCCUUACCUUUCCAUUUUCUCAGCUAUUAGUUCUCUCCUUUACCUGAAUUAUGUAUAUACUAAUAUAGAAAUAUUCAUGUGUAGUUUUAGUGAACAAGCAUGCCUCUUCUACCUGAUCAAAACAACUUGUAAUUGUUUGCGUGCAUGCAAAUCCUAUAUUAUGUGGUGUAUUUGCUUCAUGAAUUCAAUCCCUAGGGUUUUAUAUAUGAUCUUAUAUGUGUGGUGGGCUUAUGUAUAUAUAUGAAAGGAGCUCUUCUUCAGUCCAGUCCGGGGCAGUUUAAGGGCUGACACUCAGCUGCUGACUCGUUGGUUCAAGAACUCAUCGUGCAAAUGCUAAAAGAAGUGGUGUGUUUCUGAUCCAACGAAGCGGGAGCUGAGAGUAGCACUUAACGCAGAAGUUAAAGAGAUAUGAGAUGCCUCUGGGAAGAACCUAGAUUUUCUGGAUAUACGACAGGAUGAGGAGCUUUCUUUGAAGAACGAUCUUUGAGAAUGCUACAGAAGCUGCAACCGCCUAGCUUGAAGCCACUUACUGGACUCACUUUUCCAGCUGGAGCUUAGGUCGAUGUAUUGUACGGCAAAUUAAGAAAAGAUUGAACAUAUGUAUAUAUGACUCAUGUAUUUUUCCGUUGUGAGUUGUUUUUAAUUAACUGGUGUAACCAGUUAAAUCUAUUAUGUCUUCCUAUGACCUGAUUUCAAGGCUUCAAUUUAUAAUAAAAAUACGAAAUUAUCAGAUUAAUGAA